rnacentral:lncRNA from 10 species
GGUUACUCCUCUUGCAGCAUCUUCAGAUAAAGGAGAAGACAAAGCAACUGAUACAGUUGAAGGCUUGUUGCAUCACAGUCAUCUGCUUUAGAAUCAGAGAUGUUUGAGAACUUCACAUAAUUACUACCGGUCAUGGCCAUGGAAAAGAAGUGGGGGGAAAUACUGAAAAAAUAUGCAGUUCAAUAAGUAAAGAGAGUUAAAUCUUUUCCCAACUUCGUCAUCACUAAGAAGCCCAGUGUCAUCCCUUGCAUAUCAUAGCAUAGACAGAGAAUAUAUUCAUCUUAAUGGGAAAAGUCUUGAUUAUGGGAGAAUCAGCCAAUAUAUUCCCAAUGGGACAUAAACUCCAUGAAGAUGGGAGCCUCCUUUAUCAUAUUCACUAUUGCAUUCUCAGCACUUACUCAAAUAUUUACUGAGGAAACAAAUACUCAGCUUUAGGAGAACGCUGGCUGUGUUAAAGAUGUGACUAAUAAUUUACGAUAGGAAAAAGUAAAUGUGAAGGUGGGGAGUGACUAAUUUCACAAAAAUCUGUAAGUAUAAACAGGUGAGUUCUAUAAAUUGGAGGAAUUCUGAAUAUUAGAGGGGAAUUAAAUACACAGAAAAAUUACUUUCAUUGCCUUGAGGCUUAUUUUUGUUAAAUAUGCAUUAACUACUUAAAUAAACCGAUAUUGUUACCAUACAUAUCACCUUUCACCAAGUCCUAAAGGAAAUAAUGGGAGCAGGCAGCAUUCUUACUUGAGGUACAUUCUAUUUGUUCAAUAGAGUUCUCUGGAAAAAUGCUGAAUUUGUAUAGCUGGAUACAUGGUUUGUGGCGGGGGACGGGGGAAGGCGGUGUGUGUUUCAAAAAUAAGUACCAUGA